ACAUAUUGAAUAUGCCACCCUGAACAAGCCCGAUCCUGUCUGAUCUCGGAAGCUAAGCAGGGUCGGGCCUGGUUAGUACUUGAAUGGGAGACCGCCUAGGAAGAUCAGGUGCUGUAGGUG
rnacentral:rRNA from 1 species